GGGACAAAGUAAGUCUUCCGUAGGAGUCCGGACGGAGUCUACCUGCAGUUGAAGUUGCCCUGCUGUCGAAGUCGGGGACAAAGUCCGGCUCCCGUAGGAGUCCGGAUGGAGUCUACCUGCAGUUGAAGUUGCCCUGCAGUCGAAGUCGGAGAUGAAGUCCAGCUCCCAUAGGAGUCUGGAUGGAGUCUACCUGCAGUUG
rnacentral:lncRNA from 1 species